rnacentral:rRNA from 1 species
AUGGCACCACCAAGACAAGCAAAGAGAAGGGCGCCAGCUAAUAACAACAGCAGGUCAAACAAUUUCUCUAGAAAUACCUUCAAUGUACAUGGAAGCUUGAAUGUCAAUGUCAAUGUCUGCACUGGUACUUCUCGCGCGAGAACUAGCAGCAAAGUUACCAAAGAGAGGAGCAGUAGCAAUGGCAGUAACAAAGGCAAGGGCACUCGCAAGGCCAAAUAUGCUCGGUUUCAAAGCUUGUUGGGAUUUGAACGUUGA